rnacentral:rRNA from 1 species
ACGAACGCUGGCGGCGUGCUUAACACAUGCAAGUCGAACGGAAAGGCCCAGCUUGCUGGGUACUCGAGUGGCGAACGGGUGAGUAACACGUGGGUGAUCUGCCCUGCACUCUGGGAUAAGCCUGGGAAACUGGGUCUAAUACCGGAUAUGACCAACUGUCGCAUGGUGGUUGGUGGAAAGCUUUUGCGGUGUGGGAUGGGCCCGGCCUAUCAGCUUGUGUGGGUAAUGGCCUACCAAGGCGACGACGGUAGCCGACCUGAGAGGGUGAUCGGCCACACUGGGACCGAGACACGGCCCAGACUCCUACGGAGCAGCAGUGGGAAAAUGCACAAUGGGCGCAAGCCUGAUGCAGCGACGCCGCGUGAGGGAUGACGGCCUU